rnacentral:rRNA from 1 species
AUGUCCCUACGGGGAGGCAGCAGUGGGGGAUAUUGCACAAUGGGGGAAACCCUGAUGCAGCGACGCCGCGUGAGUGAAGAAGUAUUUCGGUACGUAAAGCUCUAUCAGUAGGGAAGAAGAAAGACGGUACCUGACUAAGAAGCCCCGGCUAACUACGUGCCAGCAGCCGCGGUAAUACGUAGGGGGCAAGCGUUAUCCGGAUUUACUGGGUGUAAAGGGAGCGUAGACGGCAUAGCAAGUCUGAAGUGAAAG